GGCUGGCGGGGUGAGCCGUGUGGUGUAGGAGGAAAGGGACCCAAAAUGCAGGCAGUUGACUGGUGAUGAGAGUGAAGUUUAUUUACAGAAGUGGAGCGACAGAACAGGCAGUGAGGAAUGACAAGCGACUGAAAAAACCUAGACUGGGAAAACUAAAUGACAAACCUAAACAUGAGACGGCGAACGGAGAAUGCAGAGAGACGUGGAAUACACCGAGAAACACAGACGAUCCGACGACGAACAGGAGCCAACACACACUAUAAAUACACACUAGGUAAUGAGGAGAUGACAAGCAGGGGUGGACACAGCUGACACUAAUGGACAUGAUGAGAAGCAGACCUACAAAGUAAAACCGGAAACACACAGACUGUUUUACAACAAAACACGCAGGGACCUGAACGGGGCACAAAGGGGAGACACAGGCUAGGACAGUGACAUGUCUGCUAUAUUGCUGCUGCUACAUCUGCUACCACCAUCUCCACAAGGGCGAAAGAGACCAGGAAAGAUGUCUGCCUUUCAAGCUGUCAAUAACCUCAUCAAAUUCCUAAAGGCUGGAACCAGUGUACAGCAGCAUCUAGACAACAUCACCCGAAGCAGUCAGCCCUACCUUCUUGGUCAGGGACCCACAAGAAGCAGCAUUCAUGCCUUUUUCAUUGUGAUUGAGAAGCAUGCACUUCCAUGUAAAGUGACAGGUUCAGUAGGAGCCCUUGAUGAACUCUUUAAGGCCCAUUAUGUCUUUGGUAUAUCAUACUUUGGUAUAUCAUACAGUUCAUCCCUUUACAGUUCAUAUGAUGGUGGGAAUAGGUCCAGUCAGCUCACAUGCAAGGCACUCUAGAGAAUUAAAUCUAUCAACAUUAACUGGCAGGACCUUCAAGUGCUGGCGAAAAAUGAUUGCGAGACCAUCCCCACGACCAGAGUAGCAAGGUUUCGAAAAGUAAACAAACCCCGGAGGAGUGGAUUUAUUCAGUUGAGAAAAGUCAUGUACUGGAAAUUUCUUUAUUUUUAUGUAUUGAUCACAUAUUUUAAUUACAUCACUUUAGUAUAGCAAAAUCACUCCUGACACCUCUUUGUAUACAUAUAUGUGGAAUGUUCUCACAGGUGGGCCUCAAGUUUUAUUACACCUCACAGAUGGUGGUGUAAUAAAACCUGUACCUAUGAAGCGCCUUGAGGCGACUUUUGUUGUGAUUUGGCGCUAUAUAAAUAAAAUUGAAUUGAACUGAAUGGUGCAUUGUAGACUUGAAAAUCUCCAGAACAUCCUUUUCUUAGGGAGGUGACGGGUGGUCGGAACUUUUCUUAGAGUGGGAGAGGGGCAAGGAUGAGCUGGAUUGAAGGUAUAGAGAUAUAUGAUGUGCUGUGGAAUGUUCUUUGUUUGAGAGUGUUCCUGGAAGGUAUAAAAUGGUUCAGGGUGGUGUCCUUCCUCAGAAAAUUGUUUGGUGUU